rnacentral:rRNA from 1 species
UACGUAGGGACCAAGCGUUGUUCGGAUUUACUGGGCGUAAAGGGCGCGUAGGCGGCUUAACAAGUCACUUGUGAAAUCUCCGGGCUUAACUCGGAACGGCCAAGUGAAACUGUCAAGCUAGAGUGCAGAAGGGGCAACUGGAAUUCUCGGUGUAGCGGUGAAAUGCGUAGAUAUCGAGAGGAACACCUGCGGCGAAGGCGGGUUGCUGGGCUGACACUGACGCUGAUGCGCGAAAGCCAGGGGAGCGAACGGG